AUCCUGGCUCAGGAUGAACGCUGGCGGCAGGCUUAAUACAUGCAAGUCGAACGGUAAGGCCGAGCGUAGCAAUACGUGAGGUACACGAGUGGCGCACGGGUGCGUAACGCGUAUGCAAUCUGCCCCCGACCGGGACAAAACAGCUGGAAACGGCUGCUAAUAUCCCAUGGUCAUGAGAGACGGCAUCGUUUUUCAUGUAAAGAUUCAUUGGUCGGGGAUGAGCAUGCGUAUUAUUAGGUAGUUGGUGGGGUAACGGCCCACCAAGCCGACGAUGAUUAGGGGUUCUGAGAGGAUUAACCCCCACACUGGAACUGAGACACGGUCCAGACUCCUACGGGAGGCAGCAGUAGGGAAUAUUGGGCAAUGGAGGCAACUCUGACCCAGCCAUGCCGCGUGAAGGAAGACGGCCCUAUGGGUUGUAAACUUCUUUUGCCGCAGAGUAAACCCGGUCACGUGUGGCCGGUUGAGAGUAUGCGGCGAAUAAGUAUCGGCUAACUCCGUGCC
rnacentral:rRNA from 1 species